rnacentral:rRNA from 1 species
UACGUAGGGGGCUAGCGUUGUCCGGAAUCAUUGGGCGUAAAGAGCGUGUAGGCGGCCCGGUAAGUCCGCUGUAAAAGUCAAAGGCUCAACCUUUGAAUGUCAGUGGAUACUGCCGGGCUAGAGUCCGGAAGAGGCGAGUGGAACUCCUGGUGUAGCGGUGGAAUGCGCAGAUAUCAGGAGGAACACCGGUGGCGAAGGCGGAUCUCUGGGCCUUACCUGACGCUGAGGCGCGAAAGCUAGGGGAGCGAACAGG